CAUGUACAUACACCCAAGCUUAAAACACACGCACUCUCUCCUACAUAAUAGUUUCUGCAAUGGAUGCUUUCGAAAAGCUCGAAAAGGUCGGGGAAGGAGCCUACGACAAAGUGUACAUAGCGAGAGAGAAAAGCUGUUGGGUAUGCUCUGUCGCGAUGCCCAUAUCGUCGAUCAAGCUGAUGGAUGUGAAACAAGGGAUUAGUAAGACGAGGGAUAUGGUUUUGUACUUGGUGUUUGAGUACAUGGACACUGAUUUGAAGAAGUUCAUUCGGUCUUUUCGUCAAACAAGAGAGAACAUUCAUUUGCCCACUGUUAAGGUAUCUUCAAUUCGAUUGGUUUUUUUACAUGGGUUUUAUUUGAAAUGUUUCUCUGAUUGGUUUUUCGGGGGUUUUGAAUUUUUUUGUUUUUUGAUUGAAAUAUUUUCUGAUUGUUUUUUUUUAAUUAUUGAUGUAGACCUUGAUGUAUAAACUUUGUAAAGGGGUUGCCUUCUGUCACGGUCAUGGUGUGUUGGACAAGUGUAACUAAUCGUUGUUAUUGCCAUUCCUUUGAUGUGUUAUUCUGUAUUGUUUAAUUUUUGGGAUUUUAUGCUUAUGAUUAUUUAUGUAUGUAAUUUAGAGACUUGAAGCCUCAUAAUCUUUCGAUGGACCCGAAGAAUAGCAUGUGAUCAUCCUAUUAUUGAGGCAUCGAUACUCCUACACCUGCUUCUGCCUGUGAAGCCUCAAAAGAAGAAGUUACUCAGGGCUAUGAUGACAUUCCCAAGAAGAUACAAGAUGCUGAUGUUAAGAAGGUAACAUCUAAUUUUCCCAGUUUCUCUCUCAGCACAGUCUGAGAACUCAAGCAGAUUCUAACUGGUUUAAUAUUCAUCUUCAUCUCAUCAUGAAGUCAUUGCUUGCAGUUAAGUAUUACAUUCCCUCUUUUGGUAACAAGUCUGCCUUGAUGAGAUUACCAUUGGACAUUUAUACAUUUCUUGUUGUUUCUUGUCAGAUGUGUUAUUUAGAUUGGCAUUUUCUUAUCACUGGUAUCACGUGGCCCAAGCUUUAAAUCAUCUGGCCUCAAUCUUGUAGUCUUACCUUGAUAGUUUUUGACCCCGUCUCACAUUUAUAAUCUAUGCUAGGUUUCCUUUCUCAUAAAAGUAAUUAAUGUUCCCAUGCACGGUUUACCAAGAGCUGUUGAUAUCCAGUCCUGUUGCAAAGGAUCCAGCAAUGAAGGUUAAUUGGAACUUAGAUGGAGCGUUCUUUGUCAAGACUCGUAAGCGAAAGGCAGAUUGCAAGUACAAGACCGAUGGAAAAGUUAACAAGUUCAUAAUCAUGAGUAUUCUAUAAUUUAGUUGAUCACAUGCCAAGCUUAUACAACUUCAUGCAUAUCUAUUUUUUGACGUGGUUGUGCAUUUAUUUUGUAGGACAAAAUUGAAAAGUCAUGGGUAGUAAUUUAUGAGGACCAACUGAAGAUGUUCAUGGCCUGCUAUUACAAGGAUGAUCACAUGUUAUUAGAGGUCGAUGUGAAGUAGGAGUAUCGCUUUAGAACUAGCUAAGGGUUGCUUGCUAAUGUUGGAUGAUAGUUAAACUGUUCUUCUAGAAGCAGGUGUAGUUAAGUUAAGGGUGUAGGGUAAUGCUGGUGUAAAUUGCUUGGCUUGGUACUGAAUGGUUUGUAUUUGAAUGUUGUGCAAACAAAUUUGUAUUUAACAUUAUGGGCAAUCCAAUUUACAAGCAUUUA